CCAGAGCGAUCUGACUACCUGCCCGGUACCAGGACAUGGCACACCGCCUAUCCAGUCUGGCUCCCCCGAUGU
rnacentral:sRNA from 1 species